UCCCUUGAGGAGUGGCUUCCGGAGCUAACGCGUUAAGUCGACCGCCUGGGGAGUACGGCCGCAAGGUUAAAACUCAAAUGAAUUGACGGGGGCCCGCACAAGCGGUGGAGCAUGUGGUUUAAUUCGAUGCAACGCGAAGAACCUUACCUACUCUUGACAUCCAGAGAACUUAGCAGAGAUGCUUUGGUGCCUUCGGGAACUCUGAGACAGGUGCUGCAUGGCUGUCGUCAGCUCGUGUUGUGAAAUGUUGGGUUAAGUCCCGCAACGAGCGCAACCCUUAUCCUUUGUUGCCAGCGGUCCGGCCGGGAACUCAAAGGAGACUGCCAGUGAUAAACUGGAGGAAGGUGGGGAUGACGUCAAGUCAUCAUGGCCCUUACGAGUAGGGCUACACACGUGCUACAAUGGCGCAUACAAAGAGAAGCGACCUCGCGAGAGCAAGCGGACCUCAUAAAGUGCGUCGUAGUCCGGAUCGGAGUCUGCAACUCGACUCCGUGAAGUCGGAAUCGCUAGUAAUCGUAGAUCAGAAUGCUACGGUGAAUACGUUCCCGGGCCU
rnacentral:rRNA from 1 species